rnacentral:rRNA from 1 species
CGUGCUUAAACAUGCAAGUCGAACGAUGAACCACUUCGGUGGGGAUUAGUGGCGAACGGGUGAGUAACACGUGGGCAAUCUGCCCUUCACUCUGGGACAAGCCCUGGAAACGGGGUCUAAUACCGGAUACCACUUCCACUCGCAUGGGUGGGGGUUGAAAGCUCCGGCGGUGAAGGAUGAGCCCGCGGCCUAUCAGCUUGUUGGUGAGGUAAUGGCUCACCAAGGCGACGACGGGUAGCCGGCCUGAGAGGGCGACCGGCCACACUGGGACUGAGACACGGCCCAGACUCCUACGGGAGGCAGCAGUGGGGAAUAUUGCACAAUGGGCGAAAGCCUGAUGCAGCGACGCCGCGUGAGGGAUGACGGCCUUCGGGUUGUAAACCUCUUUCAGCAGGGAAGAAGCGAAAGUGACGGUACCUGCAGAAGAAGCGCCGGCUAACUACGUGCCAGCAGCCGCGGUAAUACGUAGGGCGCAAGCGUUGUCCGGAAUUAUUGGGCGUAAAGAGCUCGUAGGCGGCUUGUCACGUCGGGUGUGAAAGCCCGGGGCUUAACCCCGGGUCUGCAUUCGAUACGGGCUAGCUAGAGUGUGGUAGGGGAGAUCGGAAUUCCUGGUGUAGCGGUGAAAUGCGCAGAUAUCAGGAGGAACACCGGUGGCGAAGGCGGAUCUCUGGGCCAUUACUGACGCUGAGGAGCGAAAGCGUGGGGAGCGAACAGGAUUAGAUACCCUGGUAGUCCACGCCGUAAACGGUGGGAACUAGGUGUUGGCGACAUUCCACGUCGUCGGUGCCGC